UCUUAAAAAGCACAGAUGCAACCUAAGGUCCUCAUUUUUUCUGGGCUACUCUAUCCCAGGAGCCUCUGAGGAAGAGUCUAACGGUGAGGUUUUAGCAUCCCACAGAACAGAGUAACUUAAUAGUAUAACCUUCUUGGAUCAGAUCUAGAGGCAGGCUGGGGCGGAGGUGACCCCUGAGGAGCCGUGAUGGUGAACUGACGUAAAGCAGACACUGGCUGGAUACAGCAGCUGCAGAGGCCUGACUCUGAGCUCAGGAACAACUGACAUGCCGCGCUGCUUGCGUGGCCCUGGUUGUCGGAGAGAAAUUGGAGGUCCUGGUAAGUAGAAGAAAAUACGAAGUUGCUGUUUCUACUGGGAUAAGGUUUCAGUACAGUCAGCUACCAGAGCCUCCACUUUAUCAUCUCUACAUUAAAUGAGAAGGGAAGAGGAUGUGAAAGGACUAAAAUAGGCAAGGACACCAGUAGAGCGCACCGUUGGGCAUUGGGUAGACUCCCCUUGGCCCUGGGAACCCCCUGUUGCUUCCUCCUCCUGCUCUGUCUUGGGAAAGCAGGCUUUUUGCUCUCUGUCUCUCCGAAACCCCGUCAGUAGCCUUUUUGGAUGGCGGUCACGUCACUGCCUCAUUAUCCCAGAUUAAAUUUCUACUGUGUUGGGAUAUCUUAGCUUUUUACAAAGCAAAAACUACGACAUGCUGCCUGUGCCAGAACUAUUAAUUCUACAUGGAUGCAGUGAAAGUCCUUCUUCCACGUGAAGGCUUUAUCUUUGCUGUUGGUUUACUCCUGUUUCCUUUUUCCCCUGCAGCCUUCUCUGAUUCAGUUCUGGAAUUCUAGAUGGUUAUUGCCAAGCAGAGAACCCAUAAGCUAUGUGAGAUUUAUACUAAAUAGGUAUAUCACAUACAGUUCCUGAAGAAAAAAUAAGGAAAGGCCAUAUUUUCAAAUAUAUGACAGUGUGAUCUCAUACACUGCAGUCAGAUUACUCCAAUUUACAGACACUGAAGGCUUAGACUAGCUUACAAAUAAUGAGAAAAGCAGAUAAACUAAUAACGGUUUGAUUUAAAGAGUGUUUUAAGGCCCAAGGAUUGAGUGAGUUCAAAUACUAGUAUAAGGCUUAACUGAGAAAGAGACCUAUAUGGUUGAUGACAUUAGUUUAUAUUUGACAUUAUGAAUUAAUAUGAAUUACAUUAAUACAUAUCACAAUAUGACAGCACAUGCCUUCAAGUUAAUGUAUGAUUUGGCACGAAAGUACAAUUUCAUAGCUACUCAUAUAUAUUAAAACCAGGUGAAACCUCUGACAUAUGCAGCUGUAUUCCUUUUUUUUGUUAAGUUUAUACUUCUUAAUGAGAUUACUUUUCCUGGUUUAUGAAAUCUAUUGCCAUAACAUGGUCAUUUAAUUCUUGUCCUGUAAUUGUAAUGGAUCGUUAUUGCUGCUGAUUUACAAUAUAUUAUCCUUUUACUAGCAGAUUUAAUCAUAGGAGCUCUAUUUCCCUCUAAGCUUUAUUAGAAUAUUGGAGACAAAACUCUGCCACAUAUAUUGUUCAGCAGAUAACUGAGUAUUUUCCAGUAAAGAAAAAAGUUCCUGAAAAUCAACCAAACAAAACCAGCCCUUAAAGUGGGCAGAAACUUUGCAAAUAUCUGAAUGAUUAAAGAGAAAGGCCUAGGAAAAUAAUAUAGCAGUUUUCACAUAUCAACAUGAGAAAAUAGUUUGAUAAUUUGAAGCUGUGCUUACCUCAUAAAGUAAGAAUUAAUAUAGGUAGAAAGUCAUCUGAAUUAAUGUCAUCUCUGCUGUCAUAUCUAGGUAAUCUUACCAUAUGGAUAUUUUAAUCUGUGGAAGUAAUUUUCUUAACCAUUUAGAGCUUUUGGCAAUUUUGGUAAACUUAAAAAUCCUCAUCGUUGUUUUAUUUUCCUCAAGAAGUUAUAAAUCAUGAUGCCAAGGAGCUUCAAUUUACUUUGCCAGAGUAAAAGUGAAGAACUCUCCUCUCUUCCCAUGGACCUCUAUUCUCCUUUAUGCUGAAUCCAUUUUGAAGAAAAUUGUACAAAAAACAGUUUUUUAAAAGCAAAUCGUAUUGAAUUUGGGCCUGGGGAAAAUUUAUUUAUAAAAAUGGGUUGCUUCAAGCAGGCUUGGUUUUAGUUAGGAAAGAGAUCAGUAGUUUUUAGACCUUUCCCCCAUCAUUAUCAGCCAAGCAAGUAAACACUUGUACAUUAUGAGACACUGUUAUCACAAUACUUCUGCAGAUGCUCUCCCAGUCAGUCACGGGCUGUAACCUUCUGUAGUUCAGCGCUGUACCUUAAAUGCACAGACAGCCCUUUGAAAAGUAACAAAAUAUGAGAGAGGACAAAGGCUUUACAAUAGCAUUAGAAGUAUCUACUCUGCCAGAUUAUUCAUACAAUAGUAAUUCAAGAAGCAUCUACUAUAGGCAGAGCUAUCUAGAGUUCCACAUAAAGGGAGUAAAUAGUGGGUGCUAUUUGUAUGCAAGCGUCAUCGGAAUUUUGCUCUGUAAAACAAAUGAGUUUUCAGAGACUCAAGGAACGAAAUCUGUCUAUAUACCUCCCUGAUUGAUAAGUCUUGAUUUCAUUUGCCCUAGCAAUAAGGGCUUAGGUCUUCAGAGAGCAUACCCUGGAAGCCGGGAAAGGAUAACUUCUUGAAUGCUUCAAAACCUGCUGCAUUUCAAAGGAAGAAAAAAGAAAAAGUGAAGGAAAAUUAAGCUUCAGAAGAAUUCAGAAUAGGGAAAGUCAACAGAUUCAGACUCAAGUAGAGCCCUCAAUUUAUUUUGUAAAAAUUGCUUUUCAGUGACUGACAUAGGAGAUCUAAGAUCUGAAGUACUAAAUAAAAUAAAGAAAACACCAAACGAUCCCAACAGAGACAAUACUCUUAUCUGAACAAUAAGAUUAUCUGAUCAUGUCCUCCUUACAUUUCUGCACUUAAAUGCACAGAGCUAUCUUAACCCUAUUUCAUUUUUUUCCUUUUUCCAUUACCUUCUUAUGUUCUCUUAUUGACUGUGAUGUGUCUUGCAUUCUUCUGAACAGGGAAACCACCUAUUGUCUGGUCUGUUACCAGACUUAAGCUUCAGGAGGGCUGCCACAAUGGCUUUUAAGCUUUUGUUUCCUAUUCAGAGGCUGCUCAGAGAUUGAUGUAAACAGAAUUGCUUUGAGAAAUACCAUACAGAAGACAUGUAUGUGCUUGGCCCUCUGAUAAUAAAAUCACAUGAAAGGAUUAAAAGAAAACCCCUGGAUUAAAAAAAAAUAGCUUCUAUUAAAAGAGAAAAGUGUUCAUUUUUCAUGAUUGCAGACAAAUACAUAAAACCCAACAAAACUUUGUACACUGUUGUUGCCCAUACAUCAGAAGUGACUAGUCUCCUAACCAAGUCAGGAAAAUACAACAAUGCUUCAACGAUUCCUGGACCCUUAAUUUAAGUAAUAGAUAAAUGAAGGUUUAAAUUCAAAGGCUGACAAUUGGAGACCUGUUUUGUCUCGUUCACUUUGGAGGGAGAGGACAUAGCAGAGGGAUGGAGUAGAUAGCUGAGUUAAUAUCACCCGAAACCAUGACAGUUACUUUCACUUAAGUUCCAGUCAAUACUUUUGAUAUAAUUGAUUCUUGCAGGAUUAGCAACUCAGCAACUCAAGAUGUAAGAGAUGUUUAUAAUUGUAUUCACUUGUGCAGGUGUUUACACUUUUUGCUAUUCCGACUUGAGGUGCACUAUAAGAUAAGCAGUAUGCCAUAGCAUGCCUUGCCACCUGGACUGCUUGUGUUUGAUCCUGAGGACUGUGAAUUUUCACAGUCAGAAGAGGGCAAACAUUUAAAUACAGGUUACAUUUGUGGAAAUUUUAUUCUAUAUGUACUUAAAUGUAAUUGCUGCAGAAACUUUUUUUUCGACAUGAGCCUUAAAGUAAAUAAUGCAUCAGGAUAAAGCAAAAUAAAUUUUGAAUGCUGAAUCAGAGAAAUGAGCAAAUGCUGAAUUUUAAAUUGAACUGAGAAUUAAUGAGUUUCAUUUAAUAACGAAUUUGAAUGUUAAGUAUUAGAAGUUCCAUAGAUAUCUGUACAGAGAAAAUCUUAUGUCUUCAAAAUAUAUAGAAGUAGAAAAAAGUAAAUGCUGUAAUACAGGCACAGUGUUUUCAAGAUAACUUGCAAUCAGAAUAAUUAGUAGAAAUGCAAAUGCAAUAUUAGUUUCUGGAAUACCUUUAUCUUGUGAAACA